AGUGAACGCUGGCGGUAGGCCUAACACAUGCAAGUCGAACGGCAGCACAGUAAGAGCUUGCUCUUACGGGUGGCGAGUGGCGUACGGGUGAGGAAUACAUCGGAAUCUACUUUUUCGUGGGGGAUAACGUAGGGAAACUUACGCUAAUACCGCAUACGACCUACGGGUGAAAGCAGGGGAUCUUCUGACCUUGCGCGAUUGAAUGCGCCGAUGUCGGAUUAGCUAGUUGGCGGGGUAAAGGCCCACCAAGGCGACGAUCCGUAGCUGGUCUGAGAGGAUGAUCAGCCACACUGGAACUGAGACACGGUCCAGACUCCUACGGGAGGCAGCAGUGGGGAAUAUUGGACAAUGGGCGCAAGCCUGAUCCAGCCAUACCGCGUGGGUGAAGAAGGCCUUCGGGUUGUAAAGCCCUUUUGUUGGGAAAGAAAAGCAGCAGGUUAAUACCACGCUGUUCUGACGGUACCCAAAGAAUAAGCACCGGCUAACUUCGUG
rnacentral:rRNA from 1 species